GGGAGUCAAAGUUAUGAGAGGUAGUAAAGUCAUUGGAUUCAACCGGGUUAUCAUUUAUUUUGCAUGUUCGAAUGAUUGAUUUCUUUUAGAAAAUUAAAAAUAAAAGAUGUAUAAAUGAAAAGUUUUUUUUUUUGUUUUUGAAAAGAUUGCCAUUUUCUUAAGAGAAAGCAAAAUAAAUGAAUAAUAAGAAUUUAACAAAAUGCCUUUCAUUCAUUGAUAA
rnacentral:lncRNA from 1 species